AGAGGGUGCCGGUGAAUGGUCGCCGAGCCGUCUCGAAAACGGUGGACUGGUGAUGAGCCAGUGGGGUUCGAUCCCUCCACCCUCUGCCA
rnacentral:tRNA from 1 species